UAUCGUUUCUAGAUUUCUAUCACUCAGUGU
rnacentral:piRNA from 1 species